rnacentral:tRNA from 1 species
GACGAUAUAGUUUAUUUAAAAUAUGUGCUCUGCAAGCAUGUGAUAGAGUUAUUCUUAUUGUUG